UUGAACGCUGGCGGCAUGCCUUACACAUGCAAGUCGAACGGUAGAGGGGCAACCCUUGAGAGUGGCGAACGGGUGAGUAAUGCAUCGGAACGUGCCCAGUCGUGGGGGAUAACGCAGCGAAAGCUGUGCUAAUACCGCAUGUGAUCUGUGGAUGAAAGCAGGGGACCGCAAGGCCUUGUGCGAUUGGAGCGGCCGAUGUCAGAUUAGCUAGUUGGUAGGGUAAAAGCCUACCAAGGCGA
rnacentral:rRNA from 1 species